AGGGAAGUGGCUCAGUGGUAGAGCGCUUGUCUUGCAUGCCUGAGGCCCUGGGUUCGAUUCCUAAGCAUCACAU
rfam:Dipodomys ordii contig_73048, whole genome shotgun sequence.